CAUAAUUUCAGCAGUUUAUUGCAGAAAAUUGGAAUUUCUCAUUACAACCCGAUUUAUUACAACUCACUUUAAUCCAUAUUAAAACAACAAAACAUAAACAAAAAGACAAAGAAUAAAAAAAGAAAUCUACUGCAGAAUGUAAUUAAGCUACAAACAGAAAAUAAUAAGCCAGACUAAAUUAAUAAAAUAAAGAAAUCGGUAAAAAAUACUGAACGACAAUUAAAGCAUGAUUAUGUUUUGCUGUAAAAAUAAAACUGAAAUGAAUCCAUUCAAGGAAAAAAAACUGGAUCGCUGAAAUGUCUGAGGUUACAUUCAGCCAGGAAAAAAGUGAGUUAUCAGCUAAAACUGAUUCCUCCAGGUAAAGUUUUGGUUUCCUGAUUCAUCAAACUGAGUCCCAGUUUCAAACAUCUAGCUGUUGACUUGAGGUGAAGCCAGAAAAUGUGGAGGUAGUCCACCAUCUUUAUUCUUUCCGUUCAUUUUGUGCAUCCCUGUAGCAUGAUACCACCACCACCUUGCCCAAGAGCUAGUCCAUUGUUAGCUAGACGUCUACUUAACUCGGGUUCAACAAGACAGCACUGCAAAAACCCCUAAUUUCUGCCUAGUUUAUAAUGCAAAUAUCUUAGUACACUUGAAAUAAGACAGAAUUAAAAACAAGUAACUUUUCAGCAAGAGUAUCUUAUUUUUUAUUUUAAGUUAAUUCCUUAAAUUUGAUGAAAAACUGCUAGAGAAAAUCUGCCAGUGGAACUAAUACUUUUUCAUCAAUAUUAAGAAAUUUUGAGCUAAAUCAGGUUCCUAUUUGUUGCUGAAAAAUUACUAUUAAGUUAGUUUUGUCUUAUUUAAAGUGUACUAAGAUAUUUGAACUAGAAACUAGACAAAAAUGCUUGGUAAGACUUUAUGUAGUUGGAGUGGAUGAUCUAAAAAAGUCGACUUCUUUGCUCCUCAAACAUUUAACCAAACAUUAAAGGGUGUGUAUUUUUGCUUUUUUGUAAAAAUCCUGUGUGAUUAAAACUUGAUUGAUAAAAAGGCAAUCUUUGUUUUACAUAAUCAAAUUCACCCUAGAAUAUGAGUAAAUAAAUCAUUAAAUACCUAAAAUGAACCAUGAUGAGUGGCAGCGCAAACGAUGUGCAGAACAGGCAGCGUCAGAGGAAGCUGCUGGUAAACGCUUUGUCUGAUUUCUGUUGAACCGUUGUUCUAAAACCGUCCAGUUUGUCAACUAAAUCUCAAUAAUUCGCAGGACAUUCUGCAGAAAACUCAGACCCAAAUCUGUCCAUGCAAAAACUCCUGAAAGGCCGUUAUCCUGGUCUAUGUUGAAAAUGAAAAUGUUUUUUGAAGCUAACACUGCUUUGGAUUUUGAGUCGAGGCGAUGCUGCGAUUUGUUUC